GAUGAACGCUAGCGGCAGGCCUAAUACAUGCAAGUCAAGGGGUAGCAAUACACCGGCGGACGGGUGCGUAACGCGUACACAACGUACCUCAGAGCGGGGGAUAGCAUUGGGAAACUGGUGGUAAAACCCCAUGGUGUUGUUGAAUGGCAUCAUUUAACAACUAAAGGUUACACUCUGAGAUCGGUGUGCGUCUGAUUAGCUAGUUGGUGGGGUAACGGCCCACCAAGGCGACGAUCAGUAGGGGGUGUGAGAGCAUGACCCCCCACAUGGGUACUGAGACACGGACCCAACUCCUACGGGAGGCAGCAGUAAGGAAUAUUGGUCAAUGGACGCAAGUCUGAACCAGCCAUGCCGCGUGAAGGAUUAAGGUCUCUGGAUUGUAAACUUCUUUUAUC
rnacentral:rRNA from 1 species